rnacentral:rRNA from 1 species
UACGUAGGGGGCAAGCGUUGUCCGGAAUCAUUGGGCGUAAAGAGCGUGUAGGCGGCCCGGUAAGUCCGCUGUGAAAGUCCAGGGCUCAACCCUGGAAUGCCGGUGGAAACUGUCGGGCUAGAGUCCGGAAGAGGCGAGUGGAAAUUCCUGGUGUAGCGGUGAAAUGCGCAGAUAUCAGGAGGAACACCAAUGGCGAAGGCAGCUCGCUGGGACGGUACUGACGCUGAGACGCGAAAGCGUGGGGAGCGAACAGG